CGUGUGGUGUUCAGCGUUGAGCUGUAUAGCGACACGGCCUAUAUAUGAGGU
rfam:Vibrio sp. JCM 19236 DNA, contig00015.